rnacentral:rRNA from 1 species
CACCGCGGUUAUACGAGAGACUCAAGUUGACAGUCAUCGGCGUAAAGAGUGGUUAGGACAAACAUAAACUAGAGCCGAAUGCCCUCAAAGCUGUUAUAAGCCCUACGAGAGCAAGAAGCCCAACUACGAAAGUGGCUCUAUUAUAUCUGACUCCACGAAAGCUAGGGCA